GGCAGAGAACCCACCUCCAAGUAAGAAUUGUGGACGUCAGUGCCUGAUGACAACGUUACACAUUAAUAGGGCCCUCGGAAAUCACACCAUCUUCAAAUUGAUGAUAAAUUUUUAGUUGUGAGGGAACACAAGUGGUACACCAUGUGUUUUUAUGUAAGUGGUAAGAAAUUUUAUUUUCUAAGUUAUUAACUUUGUAACACACAUAUCCCAUCAUUUAUAUAGCGACACGUGGUGUACCACCCCGUGUGAUGGUCACAUUGAAAAAUCUCUCCAAAUUGAUAUAGGAAAAUACCAAAUAAAUUUAAUUGUGUAAUACUAGAGAGAUAAAAUUUGUAGAUAAAAUUAAAAAAAAACUAAAGUACAUGGAAGUUGAUGAUUGGUUUACUACUUAUACGUUGAUAAACAUGAUUAUUCUUAUCGGUGACACAUUAUUUAAUUUGCAAAUUUAGUUUUCAAAUUUGAUCUCCCUAGUAUUACCCAAUUAAAUUAUGUGACCUUUGUAGAUAUAAUUGUUUUUAAUCAUAUGAUUCACGACAUGUAUAAUUUACUCAUGCAGUUGACUGUCAUAAUGUAGAUUGCAGGCAGUCUACUUAGUAAUGCUCAUGUGUUUAUUAUAAUAAUGUUUCUAAUUAGAGAUGCAUUUUGUACCGAAAAUGAUUUUCACACCUCCAAAUCUCCUCGUCUUCAAAUUAAUAUUAUAAUAAUAUUAACAUAACUUAACUAUAACCGUUCAAAUAAUAAGAGAUUGGAAGAAAAAGAGAUUUGGAAGGAAAAUAAUCCUGCUUCAUUUUACACAGUUGGUAGCUUCAAGCAUCGGUUAACGAAUAUAAUUUAAAGAGUAAUGCUAGAGAGACUCAAUUUGUAGAUUAAAUUUUAUAAAUUAAAUGACAUGAAAGUUAGUGAUUAAAUUAUUACUUAAAUCGUUGAUAAACGUACUUAUUUUUUAUUUGUGACACCUCAUUUAGUUUGUUAAUUUAGUUUACAAAUUUAGUCACCCUAGCAUUCCUCUAAUUUAAAUAAAUGGAUAUGGUGUGAAAUCGUUGCAUGCACACCACAAAAAUGACGUUUUGGAUUUCAACGUGUUCUUAAUUUUUUUUCAUUUAUCUUUCGGUCUCAAGGGAAAAUUUUAUAGGACGGCAAUAAGGCCGGCAAUGCUGUAUGGCACAGAAUGUUGGGCGGUGAAACAUCAACACGUACACAAAAUGGGUGUAGCGGAGAUGAGGAUGCUUCGUUGGAUGUGUGGGCACACGAGAAAGGAUAAGAUUAGGAAUGAGGAUAUCCGGGGUAAAGUAGGAGUAGCCGAAAUUGAAGGAAAGAUGAGAGAAAAUCGGUUACGGUGGUUUGGACAUGUGCAAAGAAGGCCUACUGACGCUCCGAUUAGAAGAUGCGACUAUGGGACAGAGGUUCAGGGCCGAAGGGGUAGAUGAAGACCUAGGAAAACUUUGGAAGAGACUCUAAGAAAAGACUUAGAGUACUUGGAUCUAACGAAGGACAUGACACAGGAUCGAGCACAAUGGCGUUCUAAGAUUCAUAUAGCCGAUCCCACUCAGUGACUUGGAUUUUCCAAGUCUCCAACCAAGAAGUUUUCCUCACUCGGGAAAUUAAGGGAACACUACCCCAACCUACAUGCUCCACUCAGAAAGCUUCAACAUACAAGCUUCAACAAAAGAAAAUUCAAAGAACUUAGCGAAG
rnacentral:lncRNA from 1 species